UACGUAGGGCGCACGCGUUGUCCGGAAUUAUUGGGCGUAAAGAGCUCGUAGUCGGCUUGUCACGUCGGGUGUGAAAGCCCGGGGCUUAACCCCGGGUCUGCAUUCGAUACGGGCUAGCUAGAGUGUGGUAGGGGAGAUCGGAAUUCCUGGUGUAGCGGUGAAAUGCGCAGAUAUCAGGAGGAACACCGGUGGCGAAGGCGGAUCUCUGGGCCAUUACUGACGCUGAGGAGCGAAAGCGUGGGGAGCGAACAGG
rnacentral:rRNA from 1 species